GACGGAGCAAGACCGCGUGAGGGAGGAAGGCUCUUGGGUUGUAAACCUCUUUUAUCAAGGAAGAUAAUGACGGUACUUGAUGAAUCAGCAUCGGCUAACUCCGUGCCAGCAGCCGCGGUAAUACGGAGGAUGCAAGCGUUAUCCGGAAUAAUUGGGCGUAAAGCGUUCGUAGGUGGUUCUGUAAGUCUGCUGUUAAAGCGUGUAGCUCAACUACAUAUAGGCGGUGGAAACUACAAAACUUGAGUGCGUUCGGGGUAGAGGGAAUUCCUGGUGUAGCGGUGAAAUGCGUAGAGAUCAGGAAGAACACCGGUGGCGAAGGCGCUCUACUAGACCGCAACUGACACUGAGGGACGAAAGCUAGGGGAGCGAAUGGGAUUAGAUACCCCAGUAGUC
rnacentral:rRNA from 1 species